rnacentral:rRNA from 1 species
GACGAACCGUGCGAACGUUGUUCGGAAUCACUGGGCUUAAAGGGCGCGUAGGCGGGUCCGCAAGUCUGUGGUGAAAGCCUCCAGCUUAACUGGAGAAGUGCCGAUGGAUACUGCGAAUCUUGAGGAGGGUAGGGGCGUCUGGAACGGUCGGUGGAGCGGUGAAAUGCGUUGAUAUCGACCGGAACUCCGGUGGCGAAGGCGGCUCACUGGCCCGAUACUGACGCUGAGGCACGAAAGCGUGGGGAGCGAACAGG